AUUGAACGCUGGCGGCAGGCCUAACACAUGCAAGUCGAGCGAGCGGCGGACGGGUGAGUAAUGUCUGGGGAUCUGCCCGAUAGAGGGGGAUAACUACUGGAAACGGUGGCUAAUACCGCAUACUAUCGGAUGAACCCAUAUGGGAUUAGCUAGUAGGUGGGGUAAAGGCUCACCUAGGCGACGAUCGCUAGCUGGUCUGAGAGGACGAUCAGCCACAGUGGGACUGAGACACGUCCCAGGCUCCUACGGGAGGCAGCGGUGGAGAAUAUUGCACUAUGGGCGCAGGCCUGAUGCAGCCAUGCCGCGUGUAUGAGGAAGGUCUUAGGGUUGUAAAGUACUUGCAGCGGGGAGGCGUUACCCGCAGAAGAGGCACCGGCUAACUCCGAGCCAGCCGCCGCGGUAAUUC
rnacentral:rRNA from 1 species